UACGGAGGGGGCUAGCGUUGUUCGGAAUUACUGGGGCGUAAAGCGCACGUAGGCGGCUUUGUAAGUUAGAGGUGAAAGCCCGGGGCUCAACUCCGGAAUUGCCUUUAAGACUGCAUUCGCUAUAAUUGUGGAGAGGUAAGUGGAAUUCCGAGUGUAGAGGUGAAAUUCGUAGAUAUUCGGAAGAACACCAGUGGCGAAGG
rnacentral:rRNA from 1 species